rfam:Trichoderma reesei QM6a unplaced genomic scaffold TRIREscaffold_37, whole genome shotgun sequence.
ACAUACGACCAUAUCCACUGGAAAAUACGGGAUCCCGUCUGCUCUCCCAGAGUCAAGCCAGUGAGAGGCAGAUUAGUAGUCAGGUGGGUGACCACUGGCGAACACCGGCUGUUGUAUGUU